GCAGAAGUGGCCGAGUGGUCUAAGGCGGUAGAUUUAGGCUCUAUUCCGAAAGGGCGUGGGUUCAAACCCCACCUUCUGCA